CAGUCGCCGCGGGAAUACGUAGGUGGCAAGCGUUGUCCGGAAUUAUUGGGCGUAAAGCGCGCGCAGGCGGAUAGGUCAGUCUGUCUUAAAAGUUCGGGGCUUAACCCCGUGAUGGGAUGGAAACUGCCAAUCUAGAGUAUCGGAGAGGAAAGUGGAAUUCCUAGUGUAGCGGUGAAAUGCGUAGAUAUUAGGAAGAACACCAGUGGCGAAGGCGACUUUCUGGACGAAAACUGACGCUGAGGCGCGAAAGCCAGGGGAGCGAACGGGAUUAGAUACCCCAGUAGUCCCUGUCUCUUAUACA
rnacentral:rRNA from 1 species